GCGCUGGUAGCUCAAUUGGAUAGAGCAUCAGACUACGAAUCUGGAGGUUGGAGGUUCGAGUCCUCUCCGGCGCGCCA
rnacentral:tRNA from 1 species